UACGUAGGGGGCGAGCGUUGUCCGGAUUUACUGGGCGUAAAGAGCGUGUAGGCGGCCAAGCAGGUCCGUUGUGAAAACUGGAGGCUUAACCUCCAGACGUCGACGGAAACCGCGUGGCUAGAGUCCGGAAGAGGAGAGUGGAAUUCCUGGUGUAGCGGUGAAAUGCGCAGAUAUCAGGAAGAACACCAAUGGCGAAGGCAGCUCUCUGGGACGGUACUGACGCUGAGACGCGAAAGCCAGGGAGCAAACGGG
rnacentral:rRNA from 1 species